rnacentral:sRNA from 1 species
UAGUAUGCGUUAGGGAUUGCAGCGGCAUCCUUUUGUGCAGCGUCAGCGGAACAAAAGAUACAGCGAAAAGCCCGGCCUGAA